AAUGGUGUUCUUAGUUUCGUACAUCUUAAAUUGAUGUUAGCCUUUUCUUAUUUUCAGUGGCUCAACUUACAACGAAAAUAAAGCACCUAUCGUCAGUUCUGCACAAAAAGGAUAAGCACUCUCGUAAGGGUCUACAAGCAAUGGUUCAAAAGAGGAAGAAGUUGUUGAAGUAUCUCCGAAGGACAGAUUGGGACUCCUACUGCCUCGUUCUCUCUAAGCUUGGCCUUCGUGACAACCCAGAUUACAAGUUCUAGACCAGCCUGGAAAGAGACGGCGAGGGUGAUGGACUUUUGUUGUUGGUUGACUCCCUCCCAAGGGAAGCUCAUAACUGGAUCUUUAGUAUUUGUAAUCCAUUGUCUUUGAAAGGAGAGCCAUUUGUAGGAAUUCAAGGGUUACUUGCACCAUGUUUUUUAAUGGCGGUGUCCGGAAUAGCCACCUCCUUAUCUGGUUGGUGUUACUACGUGUUGUGUCUGCGUCUUUUACUUUUGUCUUGAGCCGGGUGUCUAACGGAAACAACCUCUCUACCUUCACAAGGUAGGGGUAAGGUCUGCGUACACCCUACCCUUCCUAGACCCCACUUUGUAGGAUUAUACUGGAUUUGAUGUUGAUGUUGUUUUGUCCGGAAUAGCCAAACUUCAUCUACUUGAGCUCAUGGCAAUUUUACCUUCUGAUAAUUAAUUUGAGUUAAUUCAUCUAGAUUGACAAAUUGACUCAGUAACUGGUCUUCAAGGACCACUGAAUUUUAU